UACAGAGGGUGCAAGCGUUAAUCGGAAUUACUGGGCGUAAAGCGCGCGUAGGUGGUUUGUUAAGUUGGAUGUGAAAGCCCCGGGCACAACCUGGGAACUGCAUCCAAAACUGGCAAGCUAGAGUACGGUAGAGGGUGGUGGAAUUUCCUGUGUAGCGGUGAAAUGCGCAGAUAUAGGAAGGAACACCAGUGGCGAAGGCGACCACCUGGACUGAUACUGACACUGAGGUGCGAAAGCGUGGGGAGCAAACAGG
rnacentral:rRNA from 1 species